CGGAGCGUAGCGCAGGUUGGGAGCGCGCCGGUCUUGGGCACCGGAGGACGCUGGUUCAAACCCAGUCGCUCCGACCA
rnacentral:tRNA from 1 species